rnacentral:lncRNA from 1 species
GCCCCUUUGCUUUAUUUUAUUUUCAUUUUUUUCUUUCAAUUUUGUUUUUUAAUUUAAUUUAAUCCUUGCCUAUUUAAUGUGCUUGAUUUUCUUUAAAUAUUUAUUAUUCCAUUAUUUUUAAUGUAUUUAAUUUUAAAAUUAAUAUUAUUUUAAUGAUCAAGCUCAAUAAUAUUUUAAAUUUUUUAUUAACAUUGUUUAAAUUUAUCGAAUAUUAUUAUUUUAAUUUUGC